GUUUUACCCACAGCUCUGUACAAAAAGACACAAUUUUACUAUAAACACAGCACAUACUGUAAACAAAUCAGUGUUGUACUACAAUGCUUACAAAAGACAAAAUUAUAAUCUAAUCAACUUUUCCAAACUAUGAAAAAUUAGAUCAUCAUUAAUUAAAGAAUUCAAUUAUUAACAACUAGCAAAUAUAAUAAUAUUCAACUAUAAUUCAAAUGAAAGUGGAAAAUAUAUGAAUAAUCAUUGAUUAGAAAACUAAGGACAGUGAAUACAAUUGAUCUCACUGUGUGUGUUAAUCUGAAUAAAAAUUUGUCAACUUACCCAUCACCUACAACCACGCACUUAAUCGCCUGCAUGGUCCAGGUCUUCUAAUUAGAACAA